rnacentral:rRNA from 1 species
AUUGAACGCUGGCGGCAGGCCUAACACAUGCAAGUCGAGCGGAUGAAGGGAGCUUGCUCCUGGAUUCAGCGGCGGACGGGUGAGUAAUGCCUAGGAAUCUGCCUGGUAGUGGGGGAUAACGUCCGGAAACGGGCGCUAAUACCGCAUACGUCCUGAGGGAGAAAGUGGGGGAUCUUCGGACCUCACGCUAUCAGAUGAUCCUAUGUCGGAUUAGCUAGUUGGUGGGGUAAAGGCCUACCAAGGCGACGAUCCGUAACUGGUCUGAGAGGAUGAUCAGUCAAAAUGGAAAUAAGAAAAGGGCCAAACUCCUAAGGGAGGGAGAAGGGGGGAAAAUUGGACAAAGGGGGAAAGCCUGAAACAGCCAAACCGCGGGGGGGAAGAAGGGUUUUGGGUUGGAAAACCCUUUUGAUGGGGAAGAAAAGCAGAAAGUUAAAAACCUUGUGUUUUUAAGGUACCAAAAGAAAAAGAACCGGCUAAAUUCGGG